AUUGAACGCUGGCGGCAGGCCUAACUCAUGCGAGUCGAGCGGAUGAAGGGAGCUUGCUCCUGGAUUCAGCGGCGGACGGGUGAGUAAUGCCUAGGAAUCUGCCUGGUAGUGGGGGAUAACGUCCGGAAACGGGCGCUAAUACCGCAUACGUCCUGAGGGAGAAAGUGGGGGAUCUUCGGACCUCACGCUAUCAGAUGAGCCUAGGUCGGAUUAGCUAGUUGGUGGGGUAAAGGCCUACCAAGGCGACGAUCCGUAACUGGUCUGAGAGGAUGAUCAGUCACACUGGAACUGAGACACGGUCCAGACUCCUACGGGAGGCAGCAGUGGGGAAUAUUGGACAAUGGGCGAAAGCCUGAUCCAGCCAUGCCGCGUGUGUGAAGAAGGUCUUCGGAUUGUAAAGCACUUUAAGUUGGGAGGAAGGGCAGUAAGUUAAUACCUUGCUGUUUUGACGUUACCAACAGAAUAAGCACCGGCUAACUUCGUG
rnacentral:rRNA from 1 species